GCUGUUCUUCGUCUGAUUGUAUUCCAGGCGAGCGUUUUGUCUCGGUCGUCGUGGUGCUCCUUCCGUCGAUGUCGAGUUCUUUAGUCCUGGUGGUUUCACCUCGUCUGUUCCGUUGAUAUUGGUACCGUGUUCUGAACCUUUGCUGCUUUGAUUUAGGGUCGCGGCUAAUCUAUUCUGCUUUGACUUCUGAUCUGAUUUAGGGAUCCAUCAUGCUCUGAUUGCGAUGUGAUUUAGGGCCGUGCCUUAUCAUUUACUAUUAUCAUGGUCAUGCUUGCUGAUUUGAUUUAAGGUUGUGAUGGGUAAUGGAGAUUAUAUUUGGCGGGAAUAACGAGUUCCGUUGGUAACUUGGUAUAGAUACGUGGAGCAGUUCGUUUGGUUUCAUUUCUGUUCGUUAUGGCGGGAGAUGUUUGACAUGAUCCGAAUGAGAGAUUGAAGGUUGUGGUUUCAGUUUUGAUUGUUCUGUUCAAUUCACGGUGAUUCAGUAAUGUUCUGCGCACAAAGUGCUUCAUAUUUUUGAGGCGAAAAACAGAGGGUUGGAGACAGUUCAAACAGUCAAAAAUCUGCAGUUCUUUUGCUUUUGAUCCCGUUCCCUCAUACUUAGUCAGACUCAAUAAGAAUUCUGGAUAUAUUUGCUUUCUCCUAGCAGCCUAUACAUGUCAGAUUAUAUAUGAAAAGGAUUGUGCUAUAUUACCAUGUUACGAAGGUAGAGCUGGGAUAUGUCUUUCUUGAACUGUGUGGACAUGCUCAUGGCGGAGGUGAUUCUUCAGUGGCUAUAUUUUGGUGUCAACUUUUGGUUGGUUUCAUUUCAAGAUUGCUAGGAAAAUCGGAGGUGCUUGUUGUGUUUGCAUUCUAGACGUAAUUUUCUUGGGAAGUACCUCAAACCAACAUGGAAGUUUUGCUUUUGAAGUGAUCUGUUUGAAGGUUCUUUCAAGUAGAGUGAAGAAACUCUUGGAUUGUGUCUGCAAAAUUAGUUUACUGCUGCUGUGUUUAUCUCGAGUGGUAUGUCAAGGUCUAUUCAGAUGCUGGUUACUGUGUGGGAUUCUACCAAUCCUUCUGAUCACUAGUUUGUGCGUUUGAUUUCUACAUGGAUAUUCGUUUGGGCUUCAGCCGGUUUCAUGCUCCAUCCGGUGUUGGAUUAGUCUUAGCCUGAUAAUUUAUUGUAAUCUGUAGCCAUGUUUUUAUGAUUAGUAUGUUCUAAUGCAAUUUAUGUUGUACACAAUUGUCAAUUAUGCAUCUGUUCUGUAGUUGCGUACUGUAACCGAUGUAAUUGUUGAAUGAUAUAUGGAUGCCAUAAUUUAGCCCUUCGUCUUUUUUGGUUUGGUGUAUAAAAGCUGUAACCAAAUAGCAACUGAAUUUCAUAGCUUGAUGUUCUUUUUUCCUGCAUAAGUUACAUUUCUAUUCAUUGUUCAUCCAUGCAAAUUCAGCUGAGAUUGUUGUGAACAUCCUGUUUUUGUAAUUCUCAUCAUCUCAAGUUAAUAAUGAUGACUUUUGACCUAACAUUUUGAACUUCGUUCCGUUAUCCUUCGUUAUGUUGUCUGUUCAUCCGUUUGAUCAGUUUAACUGUGAAAUAUGGUGCUUGUUGUGCUGUCCUUACGCACAAGAUUCAUUUUAAUUAUCACAUGGGGUGCUUGUAUUUAAUUUUGAUUUCACAUAUAUAUCAUUCAUGAGUAUCAUAUUAUGUUGCUAUUUUACGUAGUUUGGUAUUAAGCUUCAAGUUAAUCUCAUGUUAGUGUGAGGGUAGUACUGUGAGAUAAGUAUGUUAGUCCAUAUAGAGUUCUAUGUUUGCAUUAUUUGCAGUCUGCUUUUACUCUUGAGUUCCCAACCUAGUUAGUGUCAAUUAAGAUCUUAUUCUGUUCAUGGAACACCUUAUAUGAUCUGUAACAGUUUUUCAUUUUAAAUAGUUUCAGUUUUGAGCAAGUAUUCAAAGGCAAUAUUAUGUGAUAAGUGGCGUUUGGUCUAACCGGAGCUCUAUGCGUAUGUUGUUUACAAUUUAUUUUCACUCUUAUAGUUUCCAUCUUGUCAGCGAAUUAAGAUUCUAGUUCUGUUUUUAGAACUUGAUUAACAUGCAACAAUUUUAGGUUCUGAUUUAACUUCCCCCUUGGUUGAGAUUAUAAGCAUGGCACAUACUGCAACUUUCGAGCUUAGUAGAAGAUUUAUUUGCAUGUGAUUUAGCUUUCCUUCCCUCCUUAUUUUGUCAGAUGAUAAGCAUAAGCAUGACAUGUACGGUAAUUUUAGUGCCUUGUUUUCAAAAUUAGAACAUUUUAUUAUGCUGUGAGAUUAUUUGAAUAACUACUUGUCCCUGAUUCGUUGUGCUGUAUAUCUCUUAGGCCUGAACAGUGCAGUUGUUAUAUGAGUUGUAUAUGACCUAAUGUUCUUUUUGCGUCCUUGGAUGUGGGCUUCUGUUUGUUUACUAGUUCUUAUUACUAAAGCUACUAACUGAGCAUUAUAUCCUCUUGACUAACUAGAGCAGUCUUAACCGAAAAUACUAUUUGUUUGUUGUGCUUAACUACUCUUAAAUUGUCUGCAUGAUCUAGUUUUGACGCUCUUUCCGAAUAAUGUUAAUAAUGUUAUGCCGUUUAACUUGUUUCUUGAGUUCCAAUUCCUACAGUUCUAAUUUUCUUUUGCUUGACAUAGAAUAUGCUAUCUGUUGAAAUUAUUACUUAUCUUGCUAUAUUAUUUGGAACAUACAUCAUAGGGAAAUUAUUUAUCUUGCUAUCCGUUUAACAGCCAAGUAGGUGUUGCUAUGUCUACUGUUUAUUAUUUAGUUAAAUUAAAUAGAAGUCACCUGGAAAAUACAUCAUAGGGAUUUUAAUUUCUCAACCUUGGUGAUCAGCUGUAUAUAAGUUGGUAGCUUUUUAUUUUAGUUCAAAUUCAAAAAAACUUGAUUCUUUCGGAUGGGUUCUUAGUUUCCUUUUAAGCCUGUUCUCCUAUUAGAAAGUUCACGCUAUCCUUAUGCUAUACAUAUUUCUAAAUUGAAUUUUCUGGCCUAUCGGUAUUUAUUGUUUGUACUGCAUUUUCAGUUUUUUGCUAAUAAUAAAUGUUGGGUCAGUCUUGGUAUGCCCCCUAACCCUCUUGUUGCUUUGUUCUAGUCUGAAUUUGAACUCUGUUCCCUAUCCAUGUUGCACCGCUUUAAGAUAUUAGAAUCUUUUGAUGUGAUGUGUGUCUAUAUCCUUAACAAACUCAAAUACAUUUAUUCAUCGCCAGGUAAUACCUUGCAAGUUUCUUUGUUGAGAAUUAGGUGGGCAAGCUAGUUUGUACUGCUGUUUAUUUCAUGUUUGCACAUCUUAUUGACACUGUAUAGUUGACAUAAAGAUUUAUUUUGAGAAAGAGUUUGUUUAGUCUUGAUUGCUACGUAGUUCUGCGCACUUCACUGACCAUCUUGUAUGUUGUUAACUUAUAAUGUUUAAAUAACUUAUGUGUACCCUUAACAAUCUUUUGCUGAUUCUACUUGUGAUCUAAUUAUUAAGUACCCUACUUAUAUGUGAAUGUCAAAUUGAUUAGUACCAGAUUUGUUUUCAGACUGUGUGUUUUUCUUUCCUCAUCCGUUGCACAAUAUAAUACAUCUUGUUUGUUUCAAUCUUUACUGUUGUGUUGUUAAAAAUGUAUGUUUCUCCUAUUUGCAGUCACUAGUAAUACAUGUGGUUUGCGUUAAUUUGACUAAAUUUAAGAGCAGGUUUUGUAAUUAAUACUUAAUAUGUUUUUGACUCUCUUCUUAUACCAUGACGUAAUAUAGUAUAGUUGGAGGCCCCUUAAAAGUUUUUACCUCAAUUGUUUUGUGAAAUUGUAUUGUAUGUAUAUACGGGGUCACUUCAUCUCCUAGAUGUUAUUCUAACUGUGCGUUCUCACUUUGGGUUUUGCUAGUUCUGUUUGUUUUAUCUUUGUGUGACUCCAGGUUUAUAUGGAUAAGAUAUUUCUUAAUGACCUUAUACUCGAAUUGUGUGAAACUCUGGUCUCAACUUUAAUUCAGAAUUUGGUUCGAUAGCUAAUAUUGGAAUAUUUUCUGUCUCCAUUUAUAAUUGUGAAUAUUUCAUACAAAAUAGAUUAAAGAAUAGAUGAAUCAGAAUCAUCUCAUUGCCUUUUCUGCUUUGUACAUUAGGACAUGAUUUUACUAUGUUGCUGGUUGUCAGAUCUUAUGGGUUUCACCUCUAGCCUACCCCAACUUGUUUGGGACUAAAAGGCUUUGUUGUUGUUGUUGCUGGUGUGCAUGUAGAGUCUAGUUAUUUAUUUCCUUUGUUUGUUUUCACUUUUUGGCUAAAGAUUGGUAGCAGAAGGCAUUUUGACUUUUUUUGGCACUGUUUAUGCCAUAGCUUUAGAAUUCCCUGUUCCAUACUUGUUUGUUUAUACAGCAUAAUGUAUCUAGUUACACAUUUGUCAUAGCAGGCGUGUGCAUGUAGUUUAAUUAUUUAUUUUUCCUUUUCGGUUGAAAAACUGGUUGCAGAAGGCAUUUUGACCUUUUGGGGACUGUUAUUUGCUACUCCGCAGCUUUGUUUCAUACUUUUUUCUUUAAACAAUAUUUAUGUAUCUUGUUACACCAUGAAUUGAGAUAACAUCUAAAGGUAAGUUAGGCCAUGAAUUCAAACAACAGUUAAGGUGUGACUGACCUUGAAAGGGGUUUAGGGUUGUAAAACUGUAAGCAUUCCUUAAUUUCUUUCUGUAGUUAAAUUGCCUGGCUGUACUUUGUGUUGCGCAUCAGAAUUAUCCUAUUCAUGAGGUGUAAUUAAGUUAAGAAAUCUUCUAGGCCAUUUCAUGCCUAUAGUUUUGCAAAUAAGUACCUCUCGUAGGUUCAGUAGUACCAUGCUUUACGAAAUGUGAGUUUAUAUAUUUAACUUUCUUCCAGACAUCUUUUCUCGUCGUACAAACUAGGCCAUACAUUUUGACUCAAAAGUUCAUAUCAUACCAUCGUCAAGUUAAUUUGGUACUCCCUCUAUCUCUUUGUAAGUCAAACUUUCACAAUACAAAAAAGUAUAUAGAAAAGAACCAACAUUCACAAUACAGAAACAAUAUCACUAAGAUUCAUCAUAGAAUAUAUUUUCAUAUUGUAUUUGAUACUGUAGAUGUUGAUACUUCUCAAAAAGAAAUGGGACUAUCUUUUUUCAUUGUUAUAGCGUUGUUUUGAAUAUGGCUAUUUUAUCUUUUUUGAGAAAACGCAAAAAGGCUUUUGCGUUUCAUUAAAUUGCAAAGAGAGAGAUAGUUUGUUACAUCCUCCUAGGAGGCACCAUUACAGGCGAGGAACACAAAAUAACUUCAGUGUACAUCCCAGGUCUGUGGGAGGAUGACACGCAGGCCUCGAGCACCCGCGGUCGCCCAGAGCGCAGCUUCUUCUUUGAUCUUUGCAACCAAGACGCUAGUCGAAGGGGUGGCUGCAUUGAAGACACAAUCGUUGCGAUGCUUCCAGGUCAUCCAAGGGAUCAGCAGCGUCGCGGAUGUUAGUCCUUUGUGCAUCAGCUUGGGUGUGGUCUGGCGCGCCGUGUGCCACCAGGUCGACAGGGAGUUUUCACCAUUAGGUGCACUGCAAGGGAGGUGCAGCCAAGACAGGAUGUCGUGCCAAAUCUGCUUGGUGAAGGGGCAGUCCAUGAUCAGGUGGUUCAUCGAUUCCGGCAUCUGAUCACAUAGCGGGCAGCGAGGAGGGUGCGGCAGUCCGCGGCGAGCGAGACGAUCAGCUGUCCAGCAGCGUCCCAAGCUAGCGAGCCAGUGGAAGAACUUCACUCGCGGGGGGGCCCAGCCUUUCCAAUUAAGUUUCCAUGCCGGGCAGGAAGUAGAGCCAUGGAAGGUGGCUAGGUACGCGGACUGGGCGGUGUAUGUGCCAGCAGCAUUCCACUUCCAAUGGAGCUGGUCUGGAUCACCAGAGAGAGUGAUAUUCUCGAUGGCCCUCCAGGUUAGCAAGUAUUGGCCAAUCUCUUGGAUGCCAAGGGCGCCAUGGAUGUCUGAUGCCCAUGUGUGCGCCUGGAGGCCAUCGGCCACUGUUCUUAUUUUGCGGCGGCGCUUGGGGAUGAGGGCAUAUAGCUGGGGGGCGAUCUCAGAGAUGGAUUGCCCGUUGAUCCAUCGGUCUUCCCAGAACAAUGCUCGCCGACCAUCGCCAAGGACCAUGGAGGUGGACGCAAAGAAGAAUGCACGUUCCUCACUGGAGAACUGCAGAUCGAGGCCAGCCCAGGCCCUGUUUCCGUCUGUGCGCGCGAACCAGAGCCAUCUGGUGCGCAAGGCAAGGCCCGUGCGCUCCAGGUCAUGAAUGCCGAGGCCGCCUAGGUGUGUGGGGCGACAGACGCGGCGCCAGUUCACGUGGCAGUUGCCAUUUUGAGCAUCGGUGCGGCCAGCCCAGAGGAAGCCUCUCUGGAUCUUCUCAAGGAGUUUGAGGACUUUCUUCGGCGGCGCGAGCACAAGGAGUUGAUGCAGGGGAAUUGCACAGAGCACGGAUUUGACAAAGGCGAGGCGUCCAGCCUUGUUCAUGAGGUGCGCCUUCCAAGUGGGCAGCUUCCCGGCAGUCGGGCGUCGCAAGGUGAGGGGGAUACCCAGGUAGGUGAUGGGGAACUGCGCGAUGGGGCAUCCCAGCGUCGCGAUGGCCGGAGCGACCUCCUCGGCUACGCAACGAAUCAUCGUGGCCGUGCUCUUCUGAAAAUUUACCCGCAGGCCUGAAGCUCUGCCAAAAAGCUGCAGAAUCUCUCUGACCGCCAACGUGUCGCUGGGUGAGGGGUGGCAGAAGAGGAUGACGUCGUCGGCAUAAAGCGAGAUGAUGGGGAUCGCACGACGGGGGUGCAGCUGUUGCAGGAUGUUGAGCUCAGCAGCUCGGCGAAACAAGCGCCCCAACGUGUCGACAGCAAGCACAAAGAGCUGCGGUGACACCGGGUCGCCCUGGCGGAGUCCACAUCGAUGCGAGAUCGCCGGGCCAGGCGCGCCAUUUAGGAGGACUCGGGUGCUGGCCGACGAGAGCAGGAUGGCAAUCCAGCCAAGGAAGCGAUCACCGAACCCAUAUCGACGCAGGGCCUCGAAGAGGAAGGGCCAUGAGACGGAGUCGAAGGCGCGGGUGAGAUCAAGCUUGAGGAGGAUGCGCGGAGCUCCCAGCUGGUGGAGGAGGCGCGCCGACUGUCGCACGAUCAAGAAGUUGUCGUGGAGGCUGCGUUCGGGGAUCACGGUAAAUUAACUUUUUUGGCUCUGCACAUUGUCCCAAAUUUGGUGCAUGGCUGAAUUUGCAGUGUGCUUGUGGUAUACUCUCAUUAUUAAGGUGUUAAUUUUGCAUGUUAACCUUUUGUCUGGGUUAGUUAUCAGCCUCUUUUCAAAGCUUUGGUGGCAUUUAGAUUUGUUGAAAGUAACAACUAUUUGAAGAAUGUUCAUUGGGUUUACCACAGAGUCAAGUACCUGAUAUUAGCUGUGCCUUUUGAUGUAACUGCAACAAUUGCAAGCUUGAAAAGAUGAAUUUGGUUGUGGUCUGGGUCUUGGGGGGUGCAUUUGUUAGCUUCAGUGCACUUAUUUUUAGAUCUCUAGCAUUUAUCUUUGCUAUUUAUGUGUUAUGUCUUUGGUGCAUUAUAAUAUGCAUAACUACUUAUUGUAUUUGACUGAUUGAAUCUUGCCUCUUAAAAGAUGUUACAGUUCCUAUUUGUAAUCGAUGUGUAUGAUUUGUUUUUUUUAUGGUGUGUAUGAUUUGUUUUGAAGUGAAUUGUUUAUCUAUCUAUAAAUAUAAGUGCCUGUGUCCAUUAAAAAUCUUUGCGCUGUCAUUUGAAUCAGUAGCACCUUACAUGGCUUUGAUUUGUUAAUGUGGAUUUGUGUUAUCAUCUGGUAUACAGUUCUCUCGUGUUCAGUGUGUGCAUAAUGACCCGUCAGAGUGUUGCAGUACAUGCCCUCGUUGAGUUUUGUGCCUUGCAAUUGUGGCAGUAUCUUUCUAUAUAAUUGAUGAUUUUGAAUAUGAAUAGUUGUUUGUUCAGUUUCUUUCCAUAUAAUUGAUGAUUUCGAAUAGGAUUACUUUCACUGUUCAGUUAAUAGUAAAAGUUGGGAGUGCUUAUGCCUUACAAUAUCUCCUAUCUUUGUUUCCUGAAUUAGUUAUCUUUCUUGGUUGGGAUAUGUUGUUAAUCUGUGUUAAUCUGUGCGCUAUUGUGUGCAAAAUGACCCCUCAAACGAGGCCUUCCAUUUAAGAAUACUGGAAUAAUACAAACGGAUAUGCAUUGCUUUGUUUUAUUGGGUAUGAUUUGGAUGCUAAUACUUCAGAUAUUUUCUUAAAUUUACUUCUCGGGUACACUUCAUGUGAGUUUUAGUGUGAUUACAAGAUGGUGCCGUACUUCCUCUCUAGAGUUGCAGUAUGUAUCUAGUUACGCAUUUGUUAUGAAUCCAGAUCACAAUGUACCUGUGUGACUUUGAGGUUGGUGUAGUUUGUGGGUGGGGAGGAGGGGGGGGGGUGAUUCUCAUUCUUUUUGUAUUUAAGGUUGGUGAGCUAUUAAUUUUCUACUUGGUUGUUGCUCAUGAGAGUCUGUGCGCCGCAGAUCAAUUAUCUAUGCUUGAGUAUAAUUAACUUAAGACACCUUAGAAUUAUGUGAAGCUAUCUGUAUCCCAUAUCAUAUUGAGGUCUGUCCACAUUUUGGUUAUUAGGCUUGUUUUUCUAAGAUAGUUGAAGGUACUAACUGAUUUUUUUUUACAUUUAUAAGCUUUGUUGUGAUUAUGUGUUCUCCGAUUUUAUGUUUCCUUUGUUUGUGGUACAAUUGUGAAAAAUAUUUUGUCCAAAACAAUUUUAGUGCCUAUAUUGUAGGUUCAUUAGCACACAUCUGAUAUGCAAGUUCCUACAUUCUGUUUUCUUUUGCUGCAUUCAACUUAGCUACCAAUUCAACAACUUAGCUAAACAUAUCAAUUAUAUGCAUAUCAACCUUUUAUCCUUUGUUGUUGCUGUCUAAUUAUAUUAGAUACUUGUUUUGACAGGGUCUCAGAUUUGGUGCAUGUCUAAAUUUCUAGUGUGACACUCUACAGUCAUGAUGCAAGGUGUUAAUUUGUGUAUGCUGAUCUCAUCUGCGUGAAAUAGUUGUGCUCCAUAACUAAUAUAACUGCAAUUUAUGCAAUUAAUAGUCAUGAGGAUUUGCUAUUAAUGUUCUUUUUUUUAUUGGCACACAGUCUUCUAUGUUGGAUAGAUUGAGUUUUGCUUGGCGGUAGCUUCUAUUAGUAUGAUUUCCUUUGAAAAGGAAUAGCUAAUCGUUCUGUUGAUGGAUUUGUUUUCAUAGCCUUGUAUUUUUCUUGUGUGUUAUUUGUGUGCGAAGAAGAGAGUUUCAGUAGGUCAUUCUCUUCACCAUUUCUGAUAGUGUCUAUGUGUCCCCUCUUGAUGGUUGCAUUAGUUGUUGCAUCUCAUUUUGAUGUAGCUGUGUAUGUCAUUUGCAUCUCUAUUUACAGUUUGUAUUGUUUGCCCUGUUGACAUGUUUCAUAUUUGUCUCUCUAGAUUUAUUCUUUAUAUGUGAAGCGUAUGUAUGGGGUGGGUGAGGGUGCGUAACACUGCCAAUGCCGGUCCCAAGCCCGGAUAAAAGUGGAGGGGGCACCAACUAACUAUUUUAUGUGACAGUAUUUUGUGGAAGUUGUUUCUGACUUUCAGUGUUCUAUAAUCGAAGCGGAUGUCCCUAGCUGAAGAUGUGAGGAGCUCGUCCAGCCUGAUUAUGCACACAGGAAACGAAACUUUGCGGUCGCAACUGAUCCUAGCAUGAAAAUAUUGAAGGUAGUAAGAACUUGGAAGGUACGGUGAUGUUCCAAACCCAAUGGAAGUUUGCCAAACGUGUCCCGAGCAGAGCCGAGGGACGUUAGUGGAAGUCGUCGUUUUAACUUUUUAGUUAUUAUUUUUAACUGUGGUCAACUCUAUGAGUAGCACGGGCAAAAUACGAUUGCAAAUUUUCAAGCCUGGCAAUCUAACUAGAUGAUGAUCUAAUUUCAAGUUCUUUGUGGUACCAGAAGAUCAGAAACAACUUUGCAGGUGUGGUAACUGCCAUUCAAUUUUGGUGUAUAACUUUACUAACCGAUGCCCAGUCCACGCCACAACGACAGGAAGAUCACAAAGGUUCAUUUGGUAAUUCUCAGCCUCUGUUUACUCCACCAAAUCUGCUUAUGAACACACUGUUUGAAGGAAUUGUGGAAUCUCCUCUGUCGUUCAAUCUGACGAAGUACUUUCGCUAUUUGUACUCUGACGUCAUGUUGGCGCUCUCUUUCUAAAUGAUCCAAUGCCAGCAGAGUGGAAGCACAGAGGUGACAGGGCUGUAGCAGAAACAUUUGUGAUUGUAUCCCGUGGUUCUUCUGGUCUGCCAGCUCUUGGUUUGGGCAUCGUUGCUGUCCUGUGCCUUGCACGUCUCGCCAACACAAAUAAAAGAGUGACCUUGUCAACGAGCUCCUCCGCUUAGCACAAAAAAUAGUCGAAAUCUCUACGACGCAGUCGCCGGAGAUGCAGCCAGAAACAAGCCUUUGUCAGCCGGAUUCGUAAGACCAACAGCCAGCUUGGUUCAGCUCAGCCCGGCGCCAGAAACCACCCCACUUGGCGGGUGAAACGACGCUCCAGCCUGAAAGAACUAGUCAAAAUUUUCUCUUUUAUAUUUUUUCCGGCUUUUGUCCAAGAGGUGUCCAAAACCUGUUUAUAAACCUCUCUAGGCCCCAAAAGACACGGCACGAGAGCGAGCAAGCUUGAGAAGCAGAGCAAGAUCAUCAAGAUGGACCACCUUUCUCUCCUCGUGCUGCUUGUCGUCUGCCUGUGCCUGGCCAUCCAUCUCCAGGGCGCCAACGCCCAGUACGGCAGCUCCUCCAGCAAUGGCGCGGCUGGGCUCGCCGGCCCGGGCUACUCCUCGCUGGGCGUGGCCACGGCUCUGCUCGCCGUCGCUGCGCUUGUUUUUAACUGAAGCUAACCUCACCUGAGCUCCUGCUUUUGUAUCAUUACUUAGUGAUGUUCUUGAAUAAUAUCUAAAUAUAUCACAGGUAUUUUUUUUU
rnacentral:lncRNA from 1 species